rnacentral:lncRNA from 1 species
AAAAUAGAAGUAAAAAAAAAAAAAGCAAAAUGUUCAUUGACUCUCUCCCAUUAGCUAUGUAGUCUAGUUAUACAGUAACUAGAUACGCUGCCUCAGAAGGUUGGUCUCCCAUACUUCCAUCAUAGAUAUCUUCAAAGGGUGACAACAGCUCUUCUUGUAAUACACUGAAUCAAAGGAAAGACUGAUGUCUUUAAUGACCUCCUUAAGGACUACCUCAGGAGGUCUACUAAUGUGCUGCCUAUACCUUUUAUUUCUUUCCGUCCAUAUAUGCCACGACAAGCACCCAAUAUCAUUCCAUAUUAACCCCCAAGGGGGGGAGUGACGCGUAAUCUUUUGUGCUGCUUCCGUCAGAUCCCCCAAUCUAAUAUCUGGACUUGAUUGGGUAGGAAUUGGAAUAUUCAUUAUUUUUCAGAAAGCGAAAUCCAGCUGUUCCG